rnacentral:rRNA from 1 species
UGCCAGCCGCCGCGGUAAUACGGAGGGUGCAAGCGUUGUUCGGAUUCACUGGGUAUAAAGGGCGCGCAGGCGGUCUUGUCCGUCAGGUGUGAAAGCUCGGGGCUCAACCCCGGAAGUGCACUUGAAACAGCAAGACUUGAAUACGGUAGAGGAGAGAGGAAUUCCUGGUGUAGAGGUGAAAUUCGUAGAUAUCAGGAGGAACACCGAUGGCGAAGGCAUCUCUCUGGGACGGAACUGACGCUGAUGAACGAAAGCUAGGGUAUCAAACGGGAUUAGAUA